rnacentral:lncRNA from 1 species
UUUAAACAAACAUUUUCAACAAUUAUCUUUUAAACAUAACCUAUUUUUAAUCUCUUUCUUUUGUUAAAAAAAACAGCAGCAACCAUUAACCCCCAAUUGAUAGGGUUUCAUUUGGCUUACAGCCGACGAGCCAGUAUUUCGAUUAGUGGCCGACGACGUACGAUUAAGGGCUAGAUCUUUGCCCGCGAAAGUCACAACCAAGCAAAAAAAAUCAAAGAAAACAUUUGACCCUCGCCCGAGUCUCUUCAUUUCCGAGAUGUUUGGGCUUUCAUUGGUGUCGAUUCAUAUACUAAAAAGAAAUUGAGCCAACCAAAAAAUAGAUCGAAAAAGAAAGAAAAAAAAACUUGAGAUCACCUUUAAUAUUUUUGAUUCCUUUUUCCCUGUUCCGUGUCCGUGUAAAAAACAAUACAGGUGAUUCUCUUUAGGCUUUAUAGUCGAGAGAAGAAAAGAAAAAAGAUACAAUUUUUCUGCUAUUUUCUUGCGUCUGUUGUCUUCUUGUGUUUGGUGUACAGGUACGGAGGUACGGGGCUAGCUGUGGGGAUAUGUGGCACUCAACGUGGGGCGUACGGAGGCGUUGGAGGCAGUCGUACGAUGCGAAGGCUAUCGGGCUUGUAAUUUGGGUCUAGGUUUAGUUAUUGGGCUUGUUUGGGUCUUGGGUUAUGUUUUUGGGUUUGGGUUUAAUUUUUGUUUAUUUUGUAUUUUGGUGGACCCGGGCAAAUUGGCCCGUUUACAAAAUUGAAAGGAAAAUUAUGUGUUUAAUAAAAUUAAGUCAACAAAAUAAUUUGGGUUAACAUGUAAAAUUGUCAAUGUACUAUUGCUUAACAUUGAAAUUUAUCAUUAUACUUUGAGAAUAUUAUUAAAUUUAUCACAUUAAUUUUAUGUGGUAGAAUUUUAC